rnacentral:misc_RNA from 1 species
UACGAGUGCCUCAAGCGUUAUCCGGAAUCAUUGGGCGUAAAGGGUGUGUAGGCGGUUUUGUUAGUCUUUUGCUAAAUUCAUCGGCUCAACUGAUGGCUCGCGGAAGAAACGGCAAAACUUGAGAGUGCGAGGGGUGUACAGAACUCAUAGUGUAGGGGUGAAAUCCGUUGAUAUUAUGGGGAAUACCAAAAGCGAAGGCAGUACACUGGCGCAAUUCUGACGCUGAGACACGAAAGCGUAGGUAGCGAACGGG